AGCGAACGCUGGCGGCAGGCCUAACACAUGCAAGUCGAACGAACCCUUCGGGGUUAGUGGCGGACGGGUGAGUAACACGUGGGAACGUGCCUUUAGGUUCGGAAUAACUCAGGGAAACUUGUGCUAAUACCGAAUGUGCCCUCCGGGGGACAGAUUUAUCGCCUUUAGAGCGGCCCGCGUCUGAUUAGCUAGUUGGUGAGGUAAUGGCUCACCAAGGCUACGAUCAGUAGCUGGUCUGAGAGGAUGACCAGCCACAUUGGGACUGAGACACGGCCCAAACUCCUACGGGAGGCAGCAGUGGGGAAUCUUGCGCAAUGGGCGAAAGCCUGACGCAGCCAUGCCGCGUGGAUGAUGAAGGUCUUAGGAUUGUAAAAUCCUUUCACCGGUGAAGAUAAUGACUGUAGCCGGAGAAGAAGCCCCGGCUAACUUCGUGCCAGCCGCCGCAGUAACAC
rnacentral:rRNA from 1 species